rnacentral:rRNA from 1 species
AGUGAACGCUGGCGGCAGGCCUAAUACAUGCAAGUCGAACGGCAGCACAGUGGAGCUUGCUCCAUGGGUGGCGAGUGGCGGACGGGUGAGGAAUACAUGGGAAUCUGCCCAGUCGUGGGGGAUAACGUAGGGAAACUUACGCUAAUACCGCAUGCGCCCUUCGGGGGAAAGCCGGGGACCUUCAGGCCUGGCGCGAUUGGAUGAGCCCAUGUUCGAUUAGCUAGUUGGCGGGGUAAAGGCCCACCAAGGCGACGAUCGAUAGCUGGUCUGAGAGGAUGAUCAGCCACACUGGGACUGAGACACGGCCCAGGCUCCUGCGGGAGGCAGCAGUAGGGAAUAUUGGACAAUGGGCGCAAGCCUGAUCCAGCCAUGCCGCGUGAGUGAAGAAGGCCCUCGGGUUGUAAAGCUCUUUUGUCCGGGAAGAAAAGCAUCGGGCUAAUACCUCGGUGUUCUGACGGUACCGGAAGAAUAAGCACCGGCUAACUUCGUG